CUGGGACAUAGUUCAUUUCUAAGAAUGUGUAGCCACAUUGCAAGGAUAAACAUGUUGCCUCAUAAAGAAGAUGAAGCCAUUUAUUUGCACUUCUUAACUAAGCUCCUUAUUCAGAGCAGGAGUGUCAGUGCUCUGCUCAGCUGCCACCAUUCCUGCCUCAUCACUCAAGCCUGAGUACUGCCUUAACUGGAAUGGAGACUUUGACGAAU
rnacentral:lncRNA from 1 species